GAUCCUUUGGAGACAUCCAAUAAAAUUGGAACGACAUAGAGAAGAUUAACUUGUCCUUUGCACAAAAAUGGUAUAUGCAAAUCGAGAAAUGGUUCAAAUUUUU